GCAGCAGUGGGGAUAUUGCACAAUGGGGGAAACCCUGAUGCAGCCAUGCCGCGUGUGUGAAGAAGGCCUUCGGGUUGUAAAGCACUUUCAGUAGGGAGGAAAGGGUGUAGUUUAAUACGCUAUAUCUGUGACGUUACCUACAGAAGAAGGACCGGCUAACUCCGUGCCAGCAGCCGCGGUAAUACGGAGGGUCCGAGCGUUAAUCGGAAUUACUGGGCGUAAAGCGUGCGCAGGCGGUUUGUUAAGCGAGAUGUGAAAGCCCUGGGCUCAACCUAGGAAUAGCAUUUCGAACUGGCGAACUAGAGUCUUGUAGAGGGGGGUAGAAUUCCAGGUGUAGCGGUGAAAUGCGUAGAGAUCUGGAGGAAUACCGGUGGCGAAGGCGGCCCCCUGGACAAAGACUGACGCUCAUGCACGAAAGCGUGGGGAGCAAACAGGAUUAGAUACCCUGGUAGUCCACGCCGUAAACGAUGUCUACUCGGAGUUUGGUGUCUUGAACACUGGGCUCUCAAGCUAACGCAUUAAGUAGACCGCCUGGGGAGUACGGCCGCAAGGUUAAAACUCAAAUGAAUUGACGGGGGCCCCG
rnacentral:rRNA from 1 species